rnacentral:rRNA from 1 species
GUGGGGAAUUUUGGACAAUGGGCGCAAGCCUGAUCCAACAAUGCCGCGUGCAGGAAGAAGGCCUUCGGGUUGUAAACUGCUUUUGUACGGAACGAAACGGUCCUGGUUAAUACCUGGGGCUAAUGACGGUACCGUAAGAAUAAGCUCCGGCUAACUACGUGCCAGCAGCCGCGGUAAUACGUAGGGUGCAAGCGUUAAUCGGAAUUACUGGGCGUAAAGCGUGCGCAGGCGGUUUUGUAAGACAGGCGUGAAAUCCCCGGGCUCAACCUGGGAAUUGCGCUUGUGACUGCAAGGCUGGAGUGCGGCAGAGGGGGAUGGAAUUCCGCGUGUAGCAGUGAAAUGCGUAGAUAUGCGGAGGAACACCGAUGGCGAAGGCAAUCCCCUGGGCCUGCACUGACGCUCAUGCACGAAAGCGUGGGGAGCAAACAGGAUUAGAAACCCUAGUAGUCC